rnacentral:rRNA from 1 species
UACGAAGGGGGCUAGCGUUGCUCGGAAUCACUGGGCGUAAAGCGCACGUAGGCGGAUCGUUAAGCCAGGGGUGAAAUCCUGGAGCUCAACUCCAGAACUGCCUUUGAUACUGGCGACCUUGAGUUCGGGAGAGGUGAGUGGAACUGCGAGUGUAGAGGUGAAAUUCGUAGAUAUUGGGAGGAACACCAGUGGCGAAGGCGGCUACCUGGACCGGUUCUGACGCUGAGGCGCGAAAGCGUGGGUAGCAAACAGG